AUUCUACUCCCUCCAUUGCACAAUACAUGCCUUCUAUUUGUCAAAAUAUAUAUGUAUCUAGACAUGUUUUAGUAUAUAGGUACAUCCAUUUUUGGACAAAUGGAAGUCAAGUAUUUUGGAAUGGUGGGAGUACACA
rfam:Triticum aestivum genome assembly, contig: Triticum_aestivum_CS42_TGACv1_scaffold_320653_4BL